rnacentral:rRNA from 1 species
GAUGAACGCUGGCGGCGUGCCUAAUACAUGCAAGUCGAGCGAACGGACGAGAAGCUUGCUUCUCUGAUGUUAGCGGCGGACGGGUGAGUAACACGUGGAUAACCUACCUAUAAGACUGGGAUAACUUCGGGAAACCGGAGCUAAUACCGGAUAAUAUUUUGAACCGCAUGGUUCAAAAGUGAAAGACGGUCUUGCUGUCACUUAUAGAUGGAUCCGCGCUGCAUUAGCUAGUUGGUAAGGUAACGGCUUACCAAGGCAACGAUGCAUAGCCGACCUGAGAGGGUGAUCGGCCACACUGGAACUGAGACACGGUCCAGACUCCUCCGGGAGGCAGCAGUAGGGAAUCUUCCGAAAUGGGCGAAAGCCUGACGGAGCAACGCCGCGUGAGUGAUGAAGGUCUUCGGAUCGUAAAACUCUGUUAUUAGGGAAGAACAUAUGUGUAAGUAACUGUGCACAUCUUGACGGUACCUAAUCAGAAAGCCACGGCUAACUACGUG